GACGAACGCUGGCGGCGUGCUUAACACAUGCAAGUCGAACGGAAAGGCCUCUUUCGGGGUGUACUCGAGUGGCGAACGGGUGAGUAACACGUGAGUAACCUGCCCUUGUCUUUGGGAUAACUUCAGGAAACUGGGGCUAAUACAGGAUAGGAGCUCCUGCUGCAUGGUGGGGGUUGGAAAGUUUCGGCGGUUGGGGAUGGACUCGCGGCUUAUCAGCUUGUUGGUGGGGUAGUGGCUUACCAAGGCUUUGACGGGUAGCCGGCCUGAGGGGGUGACAGGCCACAUUGGGACUGAGGGACGGCCCAGACUCCUACGGGAGGCAGAUGGGGGGAAUAUUGAACGAGGGGUGGAGGCCGGAUGCAGAAACGCCGUGGGCGGGAUGACGGCCUUCGGGUUGUAGAACGCAUGCGCUCAUGACGGAGCUUUGUGUGACGGUAGUGGGUAAAGAAGCACCGGCUAACUACGUG
rnacentral:rRNA from 1 species